AAGUCGAACGGAAAGGCCCUGCUUGCAGGGUACUCGAGUGGCGAACGGGUGAGUAACACGUGGGUGAUCUGCCCUGCACUUCGGGAUAAGCUUGGGAAACUGGGUCCAAUACCGGAUAGGAACCAUCUUUAGUGUGGUGGUCGGAAAGUUUUUUCGGUGUAGGAUGAGCUCGCGGCCUAUCAGCUUGUUGGUGGGGUAAUGGCCUACCAAGGCGGCGACGGGUAGCCGGCCUGAGAGGGUGUACGGCCACAUUGGGACUGAGAUACGGCCCAGACUCCUACGGGAGGCAGCAGUGGGGAAUAUUGCACAAUGGGCGCAAGCCUGAUGCAGCGACGCCGCGUGGGGGAUGAAGGCCUUCGGGUUGUAAACUCCUUUCGCUAGGGACGAAGCUUUUUGGUGACGGUACCUAGAUAAGAAGCACCGGCUAACUACGUGCCAGCAGCCGCGGUAAUACGUAGGGUGCGAGCGUUGUCCGGAAUUACUGGGCGUAAAGGGCUCGUAGGUGGUUUGUCGCGUCGUCUGUGAAAUUCUGGGGCUUAACUCCGGGCGUGCAGGCGAUACGGGCAUAACUUGAGUGCUGUAGGGGUAACUGGAAUUCCUGGUGUAGCGGUGAAAUGCGCAGAUAUCAGGAGGAACACCGAUGGCGAAG
rnacentral:rRNA from 1 species